UGAUGUUCCGAGGGGGGCUCCGGCGUGGAGCUGAGAUACCGCGUGAUGCGCGGUGACCCUUUGAACCUGAUCCGGGUCAUGCCGGCGAAGGGACAGGGAUGUUACAGAAAG
rnacentral:ncRNA from 1 species